UGUGUCUCGUCGCCACUCUCUCUUUCAAUUUAAUUUCAAUUUAAGGGCUUUAUUGGCAUGGUAAACAUAUGUUUACAUUGUCAAAGCAAGUGAAAUAAAUCAUAAACAAAAGUGAAAUAAACAAUACAAAUGAACAGUAAACAUUACACUCAUAAAAGUUACAAAAGAACAAAGACAUUUCAAAUGUCAUAUUAUGUGCAAAUAGUUAAAGUACAAAAGGGAAAAUAAAUAAACAUAAAUAUGGUUUGUAUUUACAAUGGUGUUUGUUCUUCACUGGUUGACCUUUUCUUGUGGCAACAGGUCACAAAUCUUGCUGCUGUGAUGGCACACUGGUAUUUCACCCAAAUUAUAUGGGAGUUUGUCAAAAUUGGGCUUGUUUUCAAAUUCUUUGUGGGUUUCUGUAAUUUGAGGUUAAUAUGUGUCUCUAAUAUGGUCAUACAUUGGGCAGGAGGCUAGGAAGUGCAACUCAGUUUCCACCUCAUUUUGUGGGCAGUGAGCACAUAGCCUGUUUUCCCUUGAGAGUCAGGUCUGCCUAUGGCGGCCUUUCUCAAUAGCAAGGCUAUGCUCACUCAGUCUCUAUAUAGUCAAAUCUUUCCUUAAGUUUGGGUCAGUCACAGUGGUCAGGUAUUCUGCCACUGUGCACUCUCUGUCUAGGGCCAAAUAGCAUUCUAGUUUGCUCUGUUUUUUUGUUAGUUCUUUCCAAUGUGUCAAGUAAUUAUCUGUUUAUUUCUCAUGAUUUGGUUGGGUCUAAUUGUGUUGCUGAUCUGGGGCUCUGUGGGGUAUGUUUGUGUUUGUGAACAGAGCCCCAGGACCAGCUUGAUUAAGGGACUCUUCUCCAGGUUCAUCUCCCUGUAGGUGAUGGCUUUGUUUUGGAAGGUUUGGGAAUCGCUUCCUUUUAGGUGGUUUUAGAAUUUAACGUCUCUUUUCUGGAUUUUUAUAAUUAGCAGGUAUCAGCCUAAUUCUGCUCUGCAUACAUUAUUUGGUGUUUUAUGUUGUACACUGAGG
ensembl:lncRNA